UUAAGCGACUAAGCGUACACGGUGGAUGCCCUGGCAGUCAGAGGCGAUGAAGGACGUGCUAAUCUGCGAUAAGCGUCGGUAAGGUGAUAUGAACCGUUAUAACCGGCGAUUUCCGAAUGGGGAAACCCAGUGUGUUUCGACACACUAUCAUUAACUGAAUCCAUAGGUUAAUGAGGCGAACCGGGGGAACUGAAACAUCUAAGUACCCCGAGGAAAAGAAAUCAACCGAGAUUCCCCCAGUAGCGGCGAGCGAACGGGGAGCAGCCCAGAGCCUGAAUCAGUGUGUGUUAGUGGAAGCGUCUGGAAAGGCGCGCGAUACAGGGUGACAGCCCCGUACACAAAAAUGCACAUGCUGUGAGCUCGAUGAGUAGGGCGGGACACGUGGUAUCCUGUCUGAAUAUGGGGGGACCAUCCUCCAAGGCUAAAUACUCCUGACUGACCGAUAGUGAACCAGUACCGUGAGGGAAAGGCGAAAAGAACCCCGGCGAGGGGAGUGAAAAAGAACCUGAAACCGUGUACGUACAAGCAGUGGGAGCACGCUUAGGCGUGUGACUGCGUACCUUUUGUAUAAUGGGUCAGCGACUUAUAUUCUGUAGCAAGGUUAACCGAAUAGGGGAGCCGAAGGGAAACCGAGUCUUAACUGGGCGUUAAGUUGCAGGGUAUAGACCCGAAACCCGGUGAUCUAGCCAUGGGCAGGUUGAAGGUUGGGUAACACUAACUGGAGGACCGAACCGACUAAUGUUGAAAAAUUAGCGGAUGACUUGUGGCUGGGGGUGAAAGGCCAAUCAAACCGGGAGAUAGCUGGUUCUCCCCGAAAGCUAUUUAGGUAGCGCCUCGUGAAUUCAUCUCCGGGGGUAGAGCACUGUUUCGGCAAGGGGGUCAUCCCGACUUACCAACCCGAUGCAAACUGCGAAUACCGGAGAAUGUUAUCACGGGAGACACACGGCGGGUGCUAACGUCCGUCGUGAAGAGGGAAACAACCCAGACCGCCAGCUAAGGUCCCAAAGUCAUGGUUAAGUGGGAAACGAUGUGGGAAGGCCCAGACAGCCAGGAUGUUGGCUUAGAAGCAGCCAUCAUUUAAAGAAAGCGUAAUAGCUCACUGGUCGAGUCGGCCUGCGCGGAAGAUGUAACGGGGCUAAACCAUGCACCGAAGCUGCGGCAGCGACACUAUGUGUUGUUGGGUAGGGGAGCGUUCUGUAAGCCUGUGAAGGUGUGCUGUGAGGCAUGCUGGAGGUAUCAGAAGUGCGAAUGCUGACAUAAGUAACGAUAAAGCGGGUGAAAAGCCCGCUCGCCGGAAGACCAAGGGUUCCUGUCCAACGUUAAUCGGGGCAGGGUGAGUCGACCCCUAAGGCGAGGCCGAAAGGCGUAGUCGAUGGGAAACAGGUUAAUAUUCCUGUACUUGGUGUUACUGCGAAGGGGGGACGGAGAAGGCUAUGUUGGCCGGGCGACGGUUGUCCCGGUUUAAGCGUGUAGGCUGGUUUUCCAGGCAAAUCCGGAAAAUCAAGGCUGAGGCGUGAUGACGAGGCACUACGGUGCUGAAGCAACAAAUGCCCUGCUUCCAGGAAAAGCCUCUAAGCAUCAGGUAACAUCAAAUCGUACCCCAAACCGACACAGGUGGUCAGGUAGAGAAUACCAAGGCGCUUGAGAGAACUCGGGUGAAGGAACUAGGCAAAAUGGUGCCGUAACUUCGGGAGAAGGCACGCUGAUAUGUAGGUGAAGUCCCUCGCGGAUGGAGCUGAAAUCAGUCGAAGAUACCAGCUGGCUGCAACUGUUUAUUAAAAACACAGCACUGUGCAAACACGAAAGUGGACGUAUACGGUGUGACGCCUGCCCGGUGCCGGAAGGUUAAUUGAUGGGGUUAGCCGCAAGGCGAAGCUCUUGAUCGAAGCCCCGGUAAACGGCGGCCGUAACUAUAACGGUCCUAAGGUAGCGAAAUUCCUUGUCGGGUAAGUUCCGACCUGCACGAAUGGCGUAAUGAUGGCCAGGCUGUCUCCACCCGAGACUCAGUGAAAUUGAACUCGCUGUGAAGAUGCAGUGUACCCGCGGCAAGACGGAAAGACCCCGUGAACCUUUACUAUAGCUUGACACUGAACAUUGAGCCUUGAUGUGUAGGAUAGGUGGGAGGCUUUGAAGUGUGGACGCCAGUCUGCAUGGAGCCGACCUUGAAAUACCACCCUUUAAUGUUUGAUGUUCUAACGUUGACCCGUAAUCCGGGUUGCGGACAGUGUCUGGUGGGUAGUUUGACUGGGGCGGUCUCCUCCUAAAGAGUAACGGAGGAGCACGAAGGUUGGCUAAUCCUGGUCGGACAUCAGGAGGUUAGUGCAAUGGCAUAAGCCAGCUUGACUGCGAGCGUGACGGCGCGAGCAGGUGCGAAAGCAGGUCAUAGUGAUCCGGUGGUUCUGAAUGGAAGGGCCAUCGCUCAACGGAUAAAAGGUACUCCGGGGAUAACAGGCUGAUACCGCCCAAGAGUUCAUAUCGACGGCGGUGUUUGGCACCUCGAUGUCGGCUCAUCACAUCCUGGGGCUGAAGUAGGUCCCAAGGGUAUGGCUGUUCGCCAUUUAAAGUGGUACGCGAGCUGGGUUUAGAACGUCGUGAGACAGUUCGGUCCCUAUCUGCCGUGGGCGCUGGAGAACUGAGGGGGGCUGCUCCUAGUACGAGAGGACCGGAGUGGACGCAUCACUGGUGUUCGGGUUGUCAUGCCAAUGGCACUGCCCGGUAGCUAAAUGCGGAAGAGAUAAGUGCUGAAAGCAUCUAAGCACGAAACUUGCCCCGAGAUGAGUUCUCCCUGACCCUUUAAGGGUCCUGAAGGAACGUUGAAGACGACGACGUUGAUAGGCCGGGUGUGUAAGCGCAGCGAUGCGUUGAGCUAACCGGUACUAAUGAACCGUGAGGCUUAACCU
rnacentral:rRNA from 1 species